UACAUUCCGAGGAUACAAAGUCCAUGUUUGAUAUUUAGUUACAGAUGUAGUUACUAGUUAUUAGUUUCAUAUCGUAGUCAGUUUAAAAUUAACAAACAAUAAACGAUCUUCUUUCCAGUAACUAUAAUAAAUUUUCUUUAAGUGCAUGCUAUUAACAACACGUUGUUAUUAUACGAGUAAUAUAUUAAGUCAUUCUAUUGUGUAGAAUAAAUCCGUCUCCGGAAUCCCAAUGACUAAGUAAAUGUAAUAAAAUAAUAAUUGUCCACUUGCAAAUAAUAAUGACAGCGCUUUUAACCGCAAACAUAAUUGAGCUUUUCUCAUGCUCCCUUCCGCUUACGUCCGUUAUACGUCAGACAAUACCUAAUAGACUAACGGUGGAAUUCAUAGUCGUAGUAGGGGGCCCCUAAGGGGAUUAUUCAGCCGCUAUGUGUCGAAUUCAACCCCUACGCGUUUCAUAGACAAAAGAAACCCCUCAUUUGACAGGAGCUGGCGGCUGACUGCUGAAUUACCGAUAACUGUCAGCCAAACCGUCCCCUGGUACUUUUUUUGUUGUUAUUCGUGAUUUAUUUAUUAAAAAGUGGACUUGGAAAGUGUUAAGACUGUGUAUAAACAGCGAGUUAUAUCAGUAUCCAAGAUAAAUAUUCGCAAUUGCGUAAAUCCAGUUUAAUACUAUGGCGAUAUGGAAUGUACGAAAGAUUCUCAUAUUAGGCAUAAUAUGCCUCUGUUUGAUGAAGAAUGAACACAGAAGACCCAAGAGAGGAAUACCAAUACCGCUAUUAUUAUGCAUUCUAGCAGCACUUCGAUUCUAUGUAACGGGAUGUUUCCAGACUGUAUUUGCAGUCCAUCAAGCAUUCUAUGAAAUAACAGAAAUGCCACAAGUCAAGCUGUAUUGAUGGCACGCAUAGGUAUACAUAUAAACAACCCCGGAGGACCCUAUGCACAGAUUUAAAGAAACCGGCUAUCAUGGCAGGGAAUAGCAGUGAUGAGCUCUGAGAAUACUGUUUUACCAAGAAUACUGAGAAUACUUUGGUCCUUGAAAAUCUGAGUUUUCAGAUCACAGUAAUUGGAAGACCCACAUACCUUGAAAAAUCAGCAGCAUUUAAUAUCGAGGUAGUAGGAGUGAGUGCAGUAUGUUGUAAGGUGGUCACUCACUCUGAAGUCCAUAACAAUAGAAAAUGUAUACAAAUCUUAAUUGAAUGAAAUUUAUUGAUUCACAUCUUUAAUAAAGAUAAUUAUUAAAUGUUUA